rnacentral:rRNA from 1 species
CAGUCGCCGCGGUAAUACGUAGGGUGCGAGCGUUAAUCGGAAUUACUGGGCGUAAAGCGUGCGUAGGCGGUUCGUUAAGUCUGUUGUGAAAUCCCCGGGCUUAACCUGGGAACUGCAUUUGUGACUGGCAAGCUAGAGUAUGGCAGAGGGGGGUGGAAUUCCGCGUGUAGCAGUGAAAUGCGUAGAUAUGCGGAGGAACACCGAUGGCGAAGGCAGCCCCCUGGGCCAAUACUGACGCUCAUGCACGAAAGCGUGGGGAGCAAACAGGAUUAGAUACCCCCGUAGUCCCUGUCUCUUAUAC